rnacentral:rRNA from 1 species
GACGAACGCUGGCGGCGUGCUUAACACAUGCAAGUCGAGCGAUGAAGUUCCUUCGGGAACGGAUUAGCGGCGGACGGGUGAGUAACACGUGGGUAACCUGCCUCAUAGAGGGGAAUAGCCUUCCGAAAGGAAGAUUAAUACCGCAUAAGAUUGUAGUACCGCAUGGUACAGCAAUUAAAGGAGCAAUCCGCUAUGAGGUGGACCCGCGUCGCAUUAGCUAGUUGGUGAGGUAACGGCUCACCAAGGCGACGAUGCGUAGCCGACCUGAGAGGGUGAUCGGCCACAUUGGGACUGAGACACGGCCCAGACUCCUACGGGAGGCAGCAGUGGGGAAUAUUGCACAAUGGGGGAAACCCUGAUGCAGCAACGCCGCGUGAGUGAUGACGGUCUUCGGAUUGUAAAACUCUGUCUUCAGGGACGAUAAUGACGGUACCUGAGGAGGAAGCCACGGCUAACUACGUGCCAGCCGCCGCAGUAAAAC